AUUGAGCGCUAGCGGGAUGCCUUACACAUGCAAGUCGAACGGCAGCACGGACUUCGGUCUGGUGGCGAGUGGCGAACGGGUGAGUAAUGUAUCGGAACGUGCCCAGUAGCGGGGGAUAACUACUCGCAAGAGUAGCUAAUACCGCAUACGCCCUACGGGGGAAAGGGGGGGAUCGCAAGACAUCCUACUAUUGGAGCGGCCGAUAUCGGAUUAGCUAGUUGGUGGGGUAAAGUCCCACCAAGGCGGCGAUCCGUAGCUGGUUUGAGAGGACGACCAGCCACACUGGGACUGAGACACGGCCCAGACUCCUACGGGAGGCAGCAGUGGGGAAUUUUGGACAAUGGGGGCAACCCUGAUCCAGCCAUCCCGCGUGUGCGAUGAAGGCCUUCGGGUUGUAAAGCACUUUUGGCAGGAAAGAAAUCGCACGGGCUAAUACCUCGUGUGGAUGACGGUACCUGCAGAAUAAGCACCGGCUAACUACGUGCCAGCAGCCGCAGUAA
rnacentral:rRNA from 1 species